GAUGAACGCUGGCGGCGUGCCUAAUACAUGCAAGUCGAGCGAAUGGAUUAAGAGCUUGCUCUUAUGAAGUUAGCGGCGGACGGGUGAGUAACACGUGGGUAACCUGCCCAUAAGACUGGGAUAACUCCGGGAAACCGGGGCUAAUACCGGAUAACAUUUUGAACCGCAUGGUUCGAAAUUGAAAGGCGGCUUCGGCUGUCACUUAUGGAUGGACCCGCGUCGCAUUAGCUAGUUGGUGAGGUAACGGCUCACCAAGGCAACGAUGCGUAGCCUACCGGAGAGGGUGAUCGGCCACACUGGGACUGAGGCACGGCCCGGACUCCUACGGGAGGCAGCAGAAGGGAAUCUUCCGCAAUGGACGAAAGUCUGACGGAGCAACGCCGCGUGGGUGAUGAAGGCUUUCGGGUCGUAAAACUCUGUUGUUAGGGAAGAACAAGUGCUAGUUGAAUAAGCUGGCACCUUGACGGUACCUAACCAGAAAGCCACGGCUAACUACGUGCCAGCAGCCGCCGUAA
rnacentral:rRNA from 1 species